UACGUAGGGUGCGAGCGUUGUCCGGAAUUAUUGGGCGUAAAGAGCUUGUAGGCGGUCUGUCGCGUCUGCUGUGAAAAUCCGGGGCUCAACCCCGGACUUGCAGUGGGUACGGGCAGACUAGAGUGUGGUAGGGGAGACUGGAAUUCCUGGUGUAGCGGUGAAAUGCGCAGAUAUCAGGAGGAACACCGAUGGCGAAGGCAGGUCUCUGGGCCACU
rnacentral:rRNA from 1 species